GUAGGGUGCGAGCGUUGUCCGGAAUUAUUGGGCGUAAAGAGCUCGUAGGCGGUCUGUCGCGUCUGCUGUGAAAACCCGAGGGCUCAACCUCGGGCCUGCAGUGGGUACGGGCAGACUAGAGUGCGGUAGGGGAGAAUGGAAUUCCUGGUGUAGCGGUGGAAUGCGCAGAUAUCAGGAGGAACACCGAUGGCGAAGGCAGUUCUCUGGGCCGUAACUGACGCUGAGGAGCGAAAGCGUGGGGAGCGAACAGGAUUAGAUACCCUGGUAGUCCACGCCGUAAACGUUGGGCGCUAGAUGUGGGGACCAUUCCACGGUUUCCGUGUCGCAGCUAACGCAUUAAGCGCCCCGCCUGGGGAGUACGGCCGCAAGGCUA
rnacentral:rRNA from 1 species